rnacentral:rRNA from 1 species
CCUACGGGUGGCAGCAGUGAGGAAUAUUGGUCAAUGGGCGCGAGCCUGAACCAGCCAAGUCGCGUGAGGGAAGACGGCCCUACGGGUUGUAAACCUCUUUUGCCGGGGAGCAACGGGCGCCACGUGUGGCGCCACUGAGAGUACCCGGAGAAAAAGCAUCGGCUAACUCCGUGCCAGCAGCCGCGGUAAUACGGAGGAUGCGAGCGUUAUCCGGAUUUAUUGGGUUUAAAGGGAGCGUAGAUGGGUUGUUAAGUCAGUUGUGAAAGUUUGCGGCUCAACCGUAAAAUUGCAAUUGAUACUGGCAGUCUUGAGUACAGUUGAGGUAGGCGGAAUUCGUGGUGUAGCGGUGAAAUGCGUAGAUAUUAGGAGGAACACCAGUGGCGAAGGCGGCUUACUGGACAGUAACUGACGUUGAGGCUCGAAGGCGUGGGGAGCAAACAGGAUUAGAUACCCCAGUAGUC